GAUGAACGCUAGCGGCAGGCUUAAUACAUGCAAGUCGAGGGGCAUCAAGGUACACGAAAGUGUAUUGUUGGCGACCGGCGGACGGGUGAGUAAUAGGUAGGUAACCUACCUCAUACUGAGGCAUAGCUGGGAGAAAUUCCAGGUAAUUCCUCAUGAGGUUAUAUGACACAUGUGAUAUAAUCAAAGGUAUCGCAAGGUACUGGUAUGAGAUGGGCUUACUGACCAUUAGCUAGUUGGUGAGAUAAGAGCUCACCAAGGCGAAGAUGGUUAGGGGUUUUGAGAGAGAGAUCCCCCACAUUGGAACUGAGAUACGGUCCAGACUCCUACGGGAGGCAGCAGUAGGGAAUAUUGGGCAAUGGGCGGAAGCCUGACCCAGCCAUGCCGCGUGAAGGAAGACGGCCUUAUGGGUUGUAAAACUUCUUUACUAUGCGACUAACUAGAUUUACGAGAUAAUUCUAUAGAAUGUAGCAUAGCAAAAAGCACCC
rnacentral:rRNA from 1 species